UACGUAGGGGGCCAGCGUUGUCCGGAAUCAUUGGGCGUAAAGAGCGUGUAGGCGGUCCGGUAAGUCCGUUGUGAAAGUCAGGGGCUCAACCCUUGAAUGCCGGCGGAUACUGUCGGGCUAGAGUCCGGAAGAGGCAAGUGGAAUUCCCGGUGUAGCGGUGAAAUGCGCAGAUAUCGGGAGGAACACCUAUGGCGAAGGCAGCUUGCUGGGACGGUACUGACGCUGAGACGCGAAAGCGUGGGGAGCAAACAGG
rnacentral:rRNA from 1 species